UUGCAGACGUGAAAGAAGAGAAGGAGAAGAUGGAGACAUCAGGGUGGAAAGAAGAGAUUUAACCAAGUUGUUCCACUCCUGACAAUGGGCCGUUGUUGAAUCCUGUGAGCACAUGUGGUUGACAGAAGUAGUGUUGUGAGUAUGUAGUCUGACAUGUAUUGUUUUAAAUGUGUAUCUAUGGCCUUUGAUUGAAUGCAUGUUUUGUAAAUGAAGGCUUUUGCUAUUAAGAGUAAAAGGUUAACAAAAUAAAUGCAGCGCACACAAUAUUCCAAUAACUUUCUUUAUUCUGGAAUGUUUACAACAGUCAAAUACAGCUAACAAUGAAAGUCUUUUUUUUUUGGCCUUUGCACUUUCAUUGACAGAUACUUAGCACUCACUUUUUUGCAACAGAUAAAGCCGUAAAAAUGACUCUGUUGCAAAAAAAGUGAGUGUUAAGUAUCUAACAAUGAAAAUCACGUUUUGGUGUUUGCUCUUUCAUUGACAGAUACUUAACACUCACUUUUUUUGCAACAGAAAAAUGACUGUUGCAAAAAAGUGAGUGUUAACUAUCUAACAAUGAAAGUCACGUUUUGGCCUUUGCUCUUUCAUUGACAGAUACUUAACUCUUUUUUUUGCAGCAGAAAAAGCCAAAAAAAAAAGACUAACUGUUGCAAAAAAGUGACUGUUAAGUAUCUGUCAAUGAAAGUGCAAAGGCCAAAAAGUGACUCUGUAAUACUUAACACUCACUUUUUUUGCAACAGAAAAAUGACUGUUGCAAAAAAGUGAGUGUUAAGUAUCUAACAAUGAAAAUCACGUUUUGGUGUUUGCUCUUUCAUUGACAGAUACUUAACUCUUUUUUUUUUUUGCAGCAGAAAAAGCCAAAAAAGAAGGACUAACUGUUGCAAAAAAGAGUGUUAACUAUCUAACAAUGAAAGUGCAAAGGCCAAAAGGUCUCAGUAAAAUACUCACCAAGUCCUGCAAACAAGUGAUCUGCUUCAAAUAAAGUUGCUCCUUUACUCUA